UGCCUCUAUGUUACUUUUACUUCAAUACAACUUCAUAAUUUAUUUCAAAAAAAAUAUAUCAUUAUCAUUCCUUGUCAACCUAGAAUAAGAGUGAGUUAGGAAAAAUAUGUAGGUUAGAAUGGUUACCAGAAUACCCACAGUUUAUUGCCUUGGUGUUUGGGUUGCCAUAUCCAUGUUUGUGAUAUGGAACAGGUAGAAUGCCUUUGCCUGAUGAUGUCAUAUCAUCAUUGGUCCUUGUCAACAUAGAAUAAGAGUGACUUGGGAGAAGUAUGUAGGUUAGGAUGGUUACCAGAAGAACCACAGUUUAUUGCCUUAGUGUUUGGGUUGCACACUGUUUCCUUCUCUGGUAUUGUGCAUUUAUUUGGAUUGCCAUGCAGCUCUAACCCAUCAGUUUCUUGAUGUUCUUCAUCUUUGCCCUUACCUUGUCCAAUUUCUGCUAUUUUACCCCACAAACAUAAGUAAGCCUUCUCUUGGCCAAGGUGUUCCUCAUAUUCUUUUUCUUCCUCUGCAAGUGACAUUUCAUAAGAAGAUUCUAUAGUUCUGUUUCAAAUCUUGCACUUGCUCCUCUGCUGUUACCAGCCCCUUUUUCCUUCCAUUUUUGUCAUCACAAUGUUUGGGUAAUUGUUUUAGAUCAAGGAUUUGUCCAUUCACCUAAUCUGAAAAUUGUUUGUGUGCAAAAUCUGACUCUCCACCUCAGGCUUUCCUCUGUUUUGCCGCACUACAGGAAGCGAAGAGUUAUGGUUCUAUUCUGCCUGAAGGGAGACUGUUUUCUCUGGCUACCCCACCGCAAGGGAGGAGGGAGGGUGGACGAAAAUCAUCUUUGAUCAAUUUUGGUUUAGAAGCCGGCUCAGAAUUUUUGGCAGGGCAGGGUCGGUUUGCCGGUUUGGGUCUCCAAACCCCAGCUUGUUGCGGUUUCGG
rnacentral:lncRNA from 1 species